GCACCCUGAUCCAGCAAUGCCGCGUGUGUGAAGAAGGCCUUCGGGUUGUAAAGCACUUUUGUCCGGAAAGAAAACGUCUUGGUUAAUACCCGAGGCGGAUGACGGUACCGGAAGAAUAAGCACCGGCUAACUACGUGCCAGCAGCCGCGGUAAUACGUAGGGUGCGAGCGUUAAUCGGAAUUACUGGGCGUAAAGCGUGCGCAGGCGGUCUGUUAAGACCGAUGUGAAAUCCCCGGGCUUAACCUGGGAACUGCAUUGGUGACUGGCAGGCUUUGAGUGUGGCAGAGGGGGGUAGAAUUCCACGUGUAGCAGUGAAAUGCGUAGAGAUGUGGAGGAAUACCGAUGGCGAAGGCAGCCCCCUGGGCCAACACUGACGCUCAUGCACGAAAGCGUGGGGAGCAAACAGGAUUAGAUACCCUGGUAGUCCACGCCCUAAACGAUGUCAACUAGUUGUUGGGGAUUCAUUUCCUUAGUAACGUAGCUAACGCGUGAAGUUGACCGCCUGGGGAGUACGGUCGCAAGAUUAAAACUCAAAGGAAUUGACGGGGACCCGCACAAGCGGUGGAUGAUGUGGAUUAAUUCGAUGCAACGCGAAAAACCUUACCUACCCUUGACAUGGUCGGAAGUCUGCUGAGA
rnacentral:rRNA from 1 species